rnacentral:rRNA from 1 species
GACGAACGCUGGCGGCGUGCCUAAUACAUGCAAGUAGAACGCUGAAGGAGGAGCUUGCUCUUCUGGAUGAGUUGCGAACGGGUGAGUAACGCGUAGGUAACCUGCCUGGUAGCGGGGGAUAACUAUUGGAAACGAUAGCUAAUACCGCAUAAGAGUAGAUGUUGCAUGACAUUUACUUAAAAGGUGCAAUUGCAUCACUACCAGAUGGACCUGCGUUGUAUUAGCUAGUUGGUGGGGUAACGGCUUACCAAGGCGACGAUACAUAGCCGACCUGAGAGGGUGAUCGGCCACACUGGGACGGAGACACGGCCCAGACUCCUACGGGAGGCAGCAGUAGGGAAUCUUCGGCAAUGGACGGAAGUCUGACCGAGCAACGCCGCGUGAGUGAAGAAGGGUUUCGGAUCGUAAAGCUCUGUUGUAAGAGAAGAACGAGUGUGAGAGUGGAAAGUUCACACUGUGACGGUAACUUACCAGAAAGGGACGGCUAACUACGUG